UUAAGCGACUAAGCGUACACGGUGGAUGCCCUGGCAGUCAGAGGCGAUGAAGGACGUGCUAAUCUGCGAUAAGCGUCGGUAAGGUGAUAUGAACCGUUAUAACCGGCGAUUUCCGAAUGGGGAAACCCAGUGUGUUUCGACACACUAUCAUUAACUGAAUCCAUAGGUUAAUGAGGCGAACCGGGGGAACUGAAACAUCUAAGUACCCCGAGGAAAAGAAAUCAACCGAGAUUCCCCCAGUAGCGGCGAGCGAACGGGGAGCAGCCCAGAGCCUGAAUCAGUGCGUGUGUUAGUGGAAGCGUCUGGAAAGGCGCGCGAUACAGGGUGACAGCCCCGUACACAAAAAUGCACAUGCUGUGAGCUCGAUGAGUAGGGCGGGACACGUGGUAUCCUGUCUGAAUAUGGGGGGACCAUCCUCCAAGGCUAAAUACUCCUGACUGACCGAUAGUGAACCAGUACCGUGAGGGAAAGGCGAAAAGAACCCCGGCGAGGGGAGUGAAAAAGAACCUGAAACCGUGUACGUACAAGCAGUGGGAGCCUGUUUUGUGGUGUGACUGCGUACCUUUUGUAUAAUGGGUCAGCGACUUAUAUUCUGUAGCAAGGUUAACCGAAUAGGGGAGCCGAAGGGAAACCGAGUCUUAACUGGGCGUUAAGUUGCAGGGUAUAGACCCGAAACCCGGUGAUCUAGCCAUGGGCAGGUUGAAGGUUGGGUAACACUAACUGGAGGACCGAACCGACUAAUGUUGAAAAAUUAGCGGAUGACUUGUGGCUGGGGGUGAAAGGCCAAUCAAACCGGGAGAUAGCUGGUUCUCCCCGAAAGCUAUUUAGGUAGCGCCUCGUGAAUUCAUCUCCGGGGGUAGAGCACUGUUUCGGCAAGGGGGUCAUCCCGACUUACCAACCCGAUGCAAACUGCGAAUACCGGAGAAUGUUAUCACGGGAGACACACGGCGGGUGCUAACGUCCGUCGUGAAGAGGGAAACAACCCAGACCGCCAGCUAAGGUCCCAAAGUCAUGGUUAAGUGGGAAACGAUGUGGGAAGGCCCAGACAGCCAGGAUGUUGGCUUAGAAGCAGCCAUCAUUUAAAGAAAGCGUAAUAGCUCACUGGUCGAGUCGGCCUGCGCGGAAGAUGUAACGGGGCUAAACCAUGCACCGAAGCUGCGGCAGCGACGCUUAUGCGUUGUUGGGUAGGGGAGCGUUCUGUAAGCCUGUGAAGGUGUGCUGUGAGGCAUGCUGGAGGUAUCAGAAGUGCGAAUGCUGACAUAAGUAACGAUAAAGCGGGUGAAAAGCCCGCUCGCCGGAAGACCAAGGGUUCCUGUCCAACGUUAAUCGGGGCAGGGUGAGUCGACCCCUAAGGCGAGGCCGAAAGGCGUAGUCGAUGGGAAACAGGUUAAUAUUCCUGUACUUGGUGUUACUGCGAAGGGGGGACGGAGAAGGCUAUGUUGGCCGGGCGACGGUUGUCCCGGUUUAAGCGUGUAGGCUGGUUUUCCAGGCAAAUCCGGAAAAUUAAGGCUGAGGCGUGAUGACGAGGCACUACGGUGCUGAAGCAACAAAUGCCCUGCUUCCAGGAAAAGCCUCUAAGCAUCAGGUAACAUCAAAUCGUACCCCAAACCGACACAGGUGGUCAGGUAGAGAAUACCAAGGCGCUUGAGAGAACUCGGGUGAAGGAACUAGGCAAAAUGGUGCCGUAACUUCGGGAGAAGGCACGCUGAUAUGUAGGUGAAGUCCCUUGCGGAUGGAGCUGAAAUCAGUCGAAGAUACCAGCUGGCUGCAACUGUUUAUUAAAAACACAGCACUGUGCAAACACGAAAGUGGACGUAUACGGUGUGACGCCUGCCCGGUGCCGGAAGGUUAAUUGAUGGGGUCAGCGCAAGCGAAGCUCUUGAUCGAAGCCCCGGUAAACGGCGGCCGUAACUAUAACGGUCCUAAGGUAGCGAAAUUCCUUGUCGGGUAAGUUCCGACCUGCACGAAUGGCGUAAUGAUGGCCAGGCUGUCUCCACCCGAGACUCAGUGAAAUUGAACUCGCUGUGAAGAUGCAGUGUACCCGCGGCAAGACGGAAAGACCCCGUGAACCUUUACUAUAGCUUGACACUGAACAUUGAGCCUUGAUGUGUAGGAUAGGUGGGAGGCUU
rnacentral:rRNA from 1 species